GGAUUGUAAACUUCUUUUGUCAGGGACGAAGAAAGUGACGGUACCUGACGAAUAAGCUCCGGCUAACUACGUGCCAGCAGCCGCGGUAAUACGUAGGGAGCGAGCGUUGUCCGGAUUUACUGGGUGUAAAGGGUGCGUAGGCGGCCGAGCAAGUCAGUUGUGAAAACUAUGGGCUUAACCCAUAACGUGCAAUUGAAACUGUCCGGCUUGAGUGAAGUAGAGGUAGGCGGAAUUCCCGGUGUAGCGGUGAAAUGCGUAGAGAUCGGGAGGAACACCAGUGGCGAAGGCGGCCUACUGGGCUUUAACUGACGCUGAGGCACGAAAGCAUGGGUAGCAAACAGGAUUAGAUACCCUGGUAGUCCAUGCCGUAAA
rnacentral:rRNA from 1 species